GACGGGGGCCCGCACAAGCGGAGGAACAUGUGGUUAAUUCGAUGAUACGCAGGAACCUUACCUGGGCUUAAAUGGGGAGUGACAGCUGUCGAAAGAUGGUUUUCUUCGGACACUCUUCAAGGUGCUGCAUGGUUGUCGUCAGCUCGUGCCGUGAGGUGUCGGGUUAAGUCCCAUAACGAGCGCAACCCUUACCGUUAGUUACCAUCAGGUUAAGCUGGGGACUCUAGCGGGACUGCCACCGUAAGGUGAGAGGAAGUGGGGAUGACGUCAAAUCAGCACGGCCCUUAUGUCCAGGGCUACACACGUGUUACAAUGGCCAGUACAAAGGGCAGCUACCGGGUGACCGGAUGCUAAUCUCUAAAGCUGGUCUCAGUUCGGAUCGAAGUCUGCAACCCGACUUCGUGAAGCUGGAUUCGCUAGUAAUCGCGCAUCAGCCAUGGCGCGGUCGAAUACGUUCCCGGGCCUU
rnacentral:rRNA from 1 species